GGGCUUCCUUUAUCUGGAAUAAGGUUAUCACAUUGAGAUAUCAAUUCAAUCUCUGGCUUAUUACAAAGAACUGUCUUCCCACCCAAACCUUGCUUAUGUCACAUGGCAGAAUUGGCAGAGAGGUUUGUGCCUUUUGCAAGCUGACGCUUGACUCCAUCGAUCAUCUUUUCUUUGGGUGUUGCAUCAUUGCCAGCAUGGCUUUCUUUUGGGCAGCUAAAUGCAAUCUCCCGUGGCGGAACAAGACAUGGUUUGAAAAUCUUCAGUGGGCGAUGAAAUUCCUCUCCGGUAAGGACUUCUAUCGCUCCAUUGGCCGCUUUUCUUUUGGUGCUCUUUGCCAUCUUAUUUGGAAGCACAGGAACGACAUACUCUUCAGAGACCAUACUGUCGCAAUUGUGGCAGUUAAAAAUCACCUCAUCAAUGUGGUGAAGGAUAAGGCCUUAACCUUCAGAGAUAUUGAAGAUAAUCUAAGAAACAGAAGACUCCAACGUAACUGGGGGAUAGAUCCUUGUAUUUUCCUUGAAAGGGUUCAGAGACAACUUACAAUUGGGUUGUGGCCUUAGUCUCCUUGGGCUCUUGCUACCUGAUAGCAUACGCCUUCUCCCUUCUGCUUUGUCUUUGCUUGCCUUGUUGGUAUGGUUGCUAUUCUUCUACGGUGGUGACUCCUCCUGGUUGCUUUCUGUCUUUUUUUGUAGCUGGUUGUAUUUGUGAGGUUGGUCUCCUUGUGGCUUCCUCUUCGCCCUAGGUGGCCUUCUUUUCCCGACUAUCCUGCCUGUUGUAUAGGCUUUUGUGUGAUUUGGCUGCUCUUGUGGGUUCUUUCACAUCCGGCUCCCUUCCACUCGCAUAGACUUUUGUCUUGAUGAGUGCAAGUUUUAUGGUGCUGGAUCUUGUGUAAAUGUUGGUUCAAAGCUCUAUAUAUUAUUACUUCUUACAAAAAAAAAAUACUCCUUUUCAGUGGCUAAAUUGGGAUGUUGAUCAAACUUGGAGGGUUGUACAUACUCUUUCACUUCCUUGAGAGUUUGACGAAUAAGUUGCCUAAUAGAGCGGAUAAGAGAAAAUAACGAGGCUGGUUUAACAAUAGCAGAAUAUAAGUUCAUAAGAGGAAGUUGAGUUUCAGAGAUCUUGGUGUUAUCACUAAGAGAGACCUCAUAAAGAUAAGAGGACUAGGUAAAAGCAACUGGAGCUUCUAGGAUCUCAGGUUCAACCAUGAUAUGGAGAAAAUCUUCUUAGCACUAGAUUCAUUUGCUAAGCGCAUGGAACGGACAAGGUUACAAACGAAAUCAUGGCUCUAAUAUCAUUUGAAUGGACCUAUACUGAGAACUAGAGAAAACAGAGUUAGUUUUCUGCAAGUAUGCCUUCCUACAAUAGGUGAACUUCUUAUUCAAACCCUUUAGGGAUAGCCUUUUAGUAGCAAAACUACUCGGAAUUUUAGUUCAAAGCAUAGAGACACUCUGGGUCAUAAGAAACGGGGCUAAAACCCUUCAUUUAAAAUUAUCCGUAAUGGUAAAUCGACUUUUUUUUCUAGAACAUCACUAGUUAUAAGGUUUAAUGGGUAAGAACAAGUUAUUGAAUGUGAUUAUUUGAUAUUAAUGUAGCCCUUAUGUGAGAAGUCAGCAUCGUCUGUUACGUUUUGUAGGUUAAAUUGAAUACUUAAUAAAGUAUAGUACAAUUUUGUAAUAUGUUAAUAGUAAUGGAAAUACAUAAUAGAUAUUUCACCUAUAUGAACUUACGAGUGGUAUCGCUUCUUACGAAAGUUAGAAUUGCUUUCUAGAGAGCUCAUGAAACAGGAUCACGUAAAGGCCACAAUAGUGCGAAGUAAUAUAGAAAUUCUUGUUGAAACAAGAGAUUAAUAUAUGUGUGGUAUCUCUUACCAAUAUAUGUGUGUGUGUGUGUGUGUGUGUGUGGUAUUUCCCUUACCAAAAAAAUAUAUUUGUGGUAUGUCCGAUUCUAUUAUUUAAAAGUAUAAGUUUAAAUAUGAGGUACUUAUCACUUUGAUAGGGUUUUGAGAUAUCAGCAUUAAGUAAAUGUUUAACUUGAAAGAGACCUUUAUGUAAGUAUAUUAAUCUCAUGAAAAUUUUGGCUGUAUAUUUUUCAACAUUUUAUUUUUGUAUUUUUAUUUUACAAACAAAGUGGGGGAUUAUUGGUAGUUUGUUUGUAAAAUAAACCAAGAGGCUUUGUUUCACAUCGAAAAGAUGUGAGUGGACACAUGGAAGAGAAUUGGUACUAACCAACAAUCAUUUUUUAUUUCUAGGAAAAUUCGGAUUUAUUUUUAUAAAAAACAUUGACCAUAGCAUCCUAUUGAAACAAUGCAACUGUUAAUCUCAGUGAGUCAAAACCCUAAGCCUCGUUUAGGACGCAAAUUUUCCUCAGAGGCGGUCCUCAACACGAACCACACAAAACUCACCUCGCCUCGGCACGUCCCUGCAUGUUAGCUCAUCACAUAUGCUAUUAUCAAUGUAGCAAGCAUAAUUUAAUAAUCGGAAUACAUCAUUUUAAUCACAUGGGUCCCAAUUAUAAGGCUAAACCGUUAUGAUACAUACUAUACUGUGUCACACAAUUUUUUCCCAUAAUCAGGUGCAAUUAUCACAACUAUUCAGGCGUGUUCCAAUUAUUACGACCUAAUGGCCACGGACAACUCGAAAGUCGGCGGUCAUCCGGCGUAACUAGACAUUGUCCCGCCCCGUCGGGUACGGAAUCAUCUCGCGUAUUCAUUCACAUUAGGACGACAUUCCAUAAAGGAGCAUCGGCCCGGCCUCUACCGUGAUCGACAUUCAUUGACGUGGGGCAUUCGAACUUAAUCAGGCAUUGUCCCAUAUAUUCAUACGCAUCAGGACGGGUUCAUUACCUCGCAUAUUUAUAUGCAUCGGGGUAUUUAGGUGAUUACACGAGCACACCAUCACUCAAGUCCAUUGAUUUCUUGCUCAUUAGCCAAGAAAAUCAAAAUCCCUUUUCAAAUAAUAAAACUUGCAACUCCCCCUUUUUUUUGUUCAAAACCUUUAGAAAUGAAUUUGUACGGGGUCCCGUAUUUGAAAUUAACCCGCCAAACUUUGCACGCAUCUAGUAUAAAACCUCCUCGUUUUAUUGAGCACAUAAAAUUUGGCAUCCAAACCCGACACCUCAUUUAUUUUCUAUUUUCUUUUCCAACUACUCCUUUUUGGAACUAAACUUGGGUAAUCCCCUUUUUUUCUUUAAAAAUUUUGGAAAGAAAUUCGUAGGUGCUCACGUGCUCAAAAAUAAUCCGUCAAAAUUUGCACACAACUAGUUUAAAAUGUCAUUAUUUUGUUGAGCAAUUAAUUUUUGGUGUCCAAACUUGACACCUAAUUGUUUUUCUAUUUAAAUGCCCAUAAGGCCACAUUUUGCAAUAAUAAUAGACAAUCAAUAUAGAGCAAUCAAUCUCAUCAUGUCACGCAUAAGUUCUCAGCAUGCCAAAAAUCACUCAAAUCACAAAACAUACAAUUUCUAGCAAGUAAGGCACCAAGAACAACCACAAAAUCUACAAUCGGCCCUAACUGGCAGAAACCGGGUCUACCCGCGCAUCUCCAAGAUUAAUUCUAGAAUCAUAACCAAACGAGUUUGGAAAAUUUUCAAAUUUGAACAUAUUAUAAAAAACACUUAAAUAAACACUUUUUAUGAAGACACCUUAACCCAGAUCUUCCUAGAAUAAUAGUAAUAAUUCGCUCAAACCGUUGCCAAAACUGUGUCCAUGUCCAGAAAUUAUGUUUUCCCAAAAUUAGUUUGGUUCGAGGUCCAAACUUAUCCGUUUGAUUUAAAAUUUAACUAUGUUAAAUUAAAAGAUGUGAUGAACAAAUUUUGUGAAGAAAAUCUUUCGAAAAUCAAAUCCUAAGAGUUGAUAAAAAUCCUUUAAACACCAAAAGGUCACAGGUUCCAGCACAAACCGAGAUUCUGCCUUGCCUAUAACGAAGCUGAAAUAUUAUUCUUUUAAAUCUAUAAAAUAUUGAGUAAAAUAUAUGUUAUAGCUGAAGAUGUUUAGAACAUUUUCUAUGAAGGAAUUAACCUCAAAACCAUAGCACAUUUUGACUCACGAAAAUCGCAAGCAGGAAGGGUCCAGUAAACCGAUCUACAGAGAAAUCCACUAGAUUAAGCUAAACCAACUUAAUUAACACUAAUCAUUCUUAGCUCUAAUAUAAACAUGAUUAGAAUUAAUAUAAACACCCCCAAGCACAAUUAAUAGCCUAAUUAAGGAUUAGGGAGUUAACUCACCGGAUUAGGAUGGCGGCGGGUUCACGGCGACGGUAGCAAAAAUCCGAGACUACCGCAUCUCCAACGGAGCUCAACGGUGGCUGUUAUGGCCAGGUGAAGCUCACGGCUUGGGGCUGCAAUGGAGGAGCUGGGUGGCUGGUCCUUGCUGGUGGUGCUGCUGGCCGGCGGUGGGUGGUGAUGUGAAGCGAGAUUGCUGGAUUAUGAG
rnacentral:lncRNA from 1 species